GACGGGGGAUGCAAGCGUUAUCCGGAAUCACUGGGCGUAAAGCGUCUGUAGGUGGUGAUGCAAGUCACUAGUGCAAAACUCUGGCUCAACCGGAGGAAAGCCAGUGAAACUGCAUGACUAGAGUGUGCGAGAGGUAGAAGGACUUACCUGAGUAGCGGUGAAAUGCGUAGAUACAGGGAAGAACACCGGAGGCGAAAGCGUUCUACUGGAACACAACUGACACUGAGUGACGAAAGCAAGGGGCGCGAAUGGG
rnacentral:rRNA from 1 species